rnacentral:rRNA from 1 species
GACGUAGGGGGCAAGCGUUGUCCGGAAUUAUUGGGCGUAAAGCGCUCGUAGGCGGAUCGAUAAGUCUGUGAAGAAAAGACCCGGGCUCAACUCGGGGAACGGCAUAGAUACUGUUGAUCUUGAGACAGUCAGAGGAUGAUGGAAUUCCAGGUGUAAGCGGUGAAAUGCGUAGAUAUCUGGAGGAACACCAGUGGCGGAAGGCGAUCAUCUGGGGCUGUUCUGACGCUGAGGAGCGAAAAGCUAGGGGAGCAAACGGG